UGUUUCGGCUAGGGGGCCAUCCCGGCUUACCAACCCGAUGCAAACUGCGAAUACCGGAGAAUGUUAUCACGGGAGACACACGGCGGGUGCUAACGUCCGUCGUGAAGAGGGAAACAACCCAGACCGCCAGCUAAGGUCCCAAAGUCAUGGUUAAGUGGGAAACGAUGUGGGAAGGCCCAGACAGCCAGGAUGUUGGCUUAGAAGCAGCCAUCAUUUAAAGAAAGCGUAAUAGCUCACUGGUCGAGUCGGCCUGCGCGGAAGAUGUAACGGGGCUAAACCAUGCACCGAAGCUGCGGCAGCGACACUCAGGUGUUGUUGGGUAGGGGAGCGUUCUGUAAGCCUGCGAAGGUGGCCUGUGAGGGUUGCUGGAGGUAUCAGAAGUGCGAAUGCUGACAUAAGUAACGAUAAAGCGGGUGAAAAGCCCGCUCGCCGGAAGACCAAGGGUUCCUGUCCAACGUUAAUCGGGGCAGGGUGAGUCGACCCCUAAGGCGAGGCCGAAAGGCGUAGUCGAUGGGAAACGGGUUAAUAUUCCCGUACUUGGUGUUACUGCGAAGGGGGGACGGAGAAGGCUAUGUUGGCCGGGCGACGGUUGUCCCGGUUUAAGCGUGUAGGUGUGUGUUCCAGGUAAAUCCGGUU
rnacentral:rRNA from 4 species